rnacentral:tRNA from 1 species
GCGGCUGUGGUGAAAUUGGUAGACACGCGUGGUUUAGGUCCACGUUCCGCAAGGAGUGGGGGUUCAAGUCCCUCCAGCCGCACCA